rnacentral:lncRNA from 1 species
UCGAAUUUAAAAGGUAAAUUACCUGAUUACUCAAAGGGGUGAGUGUAUCUGCUUUUCAUAUUCUGCUCGGUGUGGUAUUGGAAAUCAAAUCAAUUAGAAGUGUUUUACCUUCUAUCUCUACCACACAGGUAGGAUACACAUACUUCGCUUUUAUACUAUCCCCUUAAACUCCGAGGUUCUGAGCCUCAGAAAUUCCUGUACAGUAAUCCCCUCAUCAUCUAGAGCUCGCCUGGCCAAACUUCUUGGCACAGGUACAGGAGGUGGGAUGGAUACUACUGACGGGGCAGGAGAUUUCCCCCGAGCAAUCUGCUCCCUCAGAGCCUGAUUCUCCGCCAGUACUGUUCCAUCAAUGCAUCUCUACUUCCUACCUCUCCUUGAUCAUUAACCCUCCGUCUAUCAGCAGGAGGAGAUUUUUCUCUUUGGGGCUCGACAUGUGCGGAACCCGCAUCCAAUGCUAUAUCUGGCUCCAUCCUCUUUCCAGGACGAGCAGAUCCUCUUCUUGGAGGUAUUCUUUAUAUGUCUCUAAAAGAGUUAAAAAGAGA